CCUUGCCACCAUAAUAAAAAAAUAAAAAAAUAAAAUAAAAAAUAUAUAUAUAUUUUUUAAAUUUUAUUUUAUUAUUUUUUUACAGUACAUAGCCUAUAUAUUAAAUUCUUAAAUUCAAAACGUUAAACUUCCCAAAUAUUUCUGCCUAAAUGCGCUUUCAAAACCAUACUGUCGCGUCCACAUAUUUAUUUUCAAAAAGAGCCUAGGCCCCGCGCUCUGUGCUUGCUCCUUUCUCGCUCCUUUCUGAGGUUGUCGGAAGAUUUGCAGUGCGCAAAGGUCGCACUGUCUGUCAAAGCGUCACUUUUUUUUCUUCAGCGACCGAAAGACAAGGAAAAGACCCCUGCCUAGCCCAAACACCCAAGAAGUUCCCGAGCCAAUGCAGCUGGGAGGCACUCGACUCUCACCUACAGAACAAGAGAGAAGAAUGAGGGACUGCUCCACCGGCGUCCACCCACCUUUGUUUAAGAAAGAUGGAUAAAGGAGGAAGAAAGGGAGGACAAAGGAGGAGGAUGAGCGAUUAUUUUUGUGGUUACCAAAGACAGAAGACGGAGGGGAAGAUUGUUGGUCAGCCAAUAACCCAGCUGUCAAACGCCAAAAAAAAAGUAUUGGUUGAAUGUUGAAUGCAGUAUUGGUUAUGUGUUUUAUAUAAAAAUCUGUAAUUAAAUUAAUAUUUUAUUCUGAUUGUUGUGAUUGCUUGAAUAUCCUUCAUGACACAAUCGCUAGACAUUAGACUUGGUUGUGUUAUGUAUGCAUGCCUUCUAAAUCUGCCUGCCAGUAUGCCACUGCAGAAGAUUUAAGUUAUUUAAGUUUAGAAAUGUCUAAGUGUUCUUACUAUAUUAUUCUUACAUUACCAGCAGAACAAAUGUGAUUCAAUUCUAAAUAAAUAUCAGGCCAUAAUAUCUGAAUUUAACUAUAAUAUCAGUUGGGGUAACCGUCACGGUCAUGUGGGGUAACCAAAGUUUUUAGUUUUAUAUUCAUUAAUUCACAAUGCUAUUGCAAUGCUAUAUCAAAACAUUAAAUACUGAGCUUGUUUACAAGGGAUACAAAUAGCUUUUGCAAGUUUUGUGACAAGUUUGUCUCUCCCUACAGGAAAUAAUUGUUGACGAUCAUACAAAAUAGCAUUUACUUAGUGAAUGGCUAAAAAUGUACCAUGCUUAAAAAAAUUAUAUUAAACAAAAUUUAAGUUACAUGUAUUUAAGCCUCUCCAAACUCAGAUAGUUUGCUUAUUCCAGUAGUUGUAAAUGCAUAGAAAAUGUAUUAAUUUAAAUAUAGGCAUGGUUUUUUAGGGGAGUAAAAACAUCCAUCUAGCAUAAAAAUGCAUUUCAGAUAUUUUGUAUAUAAUGAAACAACUGUGAUUACAUAAAGAAAAUUCAUGUGGACUUAAAAAUAGGUUUUAAAUUCAUUUUAGUGUACGUUUAUUUUUUUAAAUUCUGAAAACCAUUUGUCAUUGACCCACCUGCCAGUUAACUGGAAAACCCAACCAGAAACUAAAACCUGUACCUGUUUCCUAUUCCUGCAAUUAGCCAGCCAUUUGAAUACCUGAUCAUUGAUAGUGUUGGCCCGCUGCCUCGCUCAAAGACUGGCUGUAUGUACUUGUUUACUGUGAUGUGUCAGACUUCCCGGUUUCCAGUUGCCUUUCCUCUCCGGUCCAUUACAACCAAGUCUGUGUUAAAGGCUUUGACUCAGUUCAUUUCCUGGUUUGGCAUUCCCAAGGUCAUUCAAAGCGAUCAGGGAUUUAAUUUUACUUCACACCUGUUCGCCCAGGUCCUCCAGCAGCUCCAUAUUAAACACAACUGCACUGAACUGGACAGGGACUGGAGAAAGAGAAAAAAAGAAGCGCUCGCACUGCUUCAGCACUUUGAGGUGUAUGUGGGGUGUGGUGUUGUUCCUCUCGUUGUCUACUCCGACCACAACCCCCUGACUUUUCUGAAGUCUAUGCAUUGUUCCAACCAACGGAUAAUGUGUUGGUGUUUGUUUCUGCAGGCCUCUCACCUUCAUGUUCGCCACAUUAAGGGAAGUGAAAAUGUGGUGGCUGACGCGCUGUCUUGUGCGCUCCCUUAAGCGCACGCUAUCCACGUUUUGCACCUUUUCCUUGACUUGUGUCUGUCCGAUCUGUCUGUCCCGCCUUCGCGCUCUUCCGUCCUCUUCUCUCCUUUCCUCUUAAAUCGCUUCCUAGGCGCCUUGGUUGCUGAGGUUGGGGUGAGUUGGAGGACGGCUGAGGUUGCGUGGACCGGUGGAAGACUGGCGGCUUGGCACUGGAGUUGAGUAUUCGCGUUUAUUUGAUGUUGUUCAUGGUUUUUAUACUUGGGGGCUAUCUGUGUUUGUAUGCGUCCUUUUGUGGUUGUGUAGGGGAUGGUUUAGGGUCCCUUAUGGGCCCCUUUUUAUGGGGGGGGGGGGGGGGGGGGGGGUUCGACGGGCUGCUCGGGCUCCUUCCUGUUCUGUGUCUGUUUCCUUCUGCAGGACAGUUGUGGGCGGGCGGAACAGCUUGUCAGGUUAACUGCCUACACCUGGCCGGUUGGCUAUAAGAACAUGCGCUCCUCAUUCCCCUAGAGACAUCUCUCCAUGCGGACACUUCUGUUUAGUCUGGUUAACCUUUUGUGGCAUUUUGUUUUCGCACCUUACAACAUCCCUCAUUCAUACUAUACAUGCAUCCCCUCACUCACCCCACUGAUGACUGAUGUACACACUUCAUCAUUACUUUUUGUAAGUAUUAUUUACCUUAGUUAAUAAAUAUCUUUUGUUAUACUUGA